GACGAACGCUGGCGGCGUGCUUAACACAUGCAAGUCGAACGGAAAGGCCCUGCUUUUGUGGGGUGCUCGAGUGGCGAACGGGUGAGUAACACGUGAGUAACCUGCCCUUGACUUUGGGAUAACUUCAGGAAACUGGGGCUAAUACCGGAUAGGAGCUCCUGCUGCAUGGUGGGGGUUGGAAAGUUUCGGCGGUUGGGGAUGGACUCGCGGCUUAUCAGCUUGUUGGUGGGGUAGUGGCUUACCAAGGCUUUGACGGGUAGCCGGCCUGAGAGUGUGACCGGCCACAUUGGGACGGAGAUACGGCCCAGACUCCUACGGGAGGCAGCAGUGGGGAAUAUUGCACAAUGGGCGGAAGCCUAAUGCAGCAACGCCGCGUGCUGGAUGACGGCCUUCGGGUUGUAAACCGCUUUCGCCUGUGACGAAGCGUGAGUGACGGUAAUGGGUAAAGAAGCACCGGCUAACUACGUG
rnacentral:rRNA from 1 species